rnacentral:tRNA from 1 species
AAGGCUCUAGCUUAAUUAGAGCAUCUGGGUUGCAUCCAGGAGGUGCAGGGUAGUGUCCUGCGAGCCUUA